UGGGGGAUCGUCUAGCGGUAGGACAACAGACUCUGACUCUGUUUACCGUGGUUCGAAUCCACGUCCCCCAGCCA
rnacentral:tRNA from 1 species